rnacentral:rRNA from 1 species
GACUCCGACUUCAUGGGGUCGAGUUGCAGACCCCAAUCCGAACUGAGACCGGCUUUUUGGGAUUCGCUCCACCUUACGGUAUCGCAGCCCUCUGUACCGGCCAUUGUAGCAUGCGUGAAGCCCAAGACAUAAGGGGCAUGAUGAUUUGACGUCAUCCCCACCUUCCUCCGAGUUGACCCCGGCAGUCUCCCAUGAGUCCCCGGCAUAACCCGCUGGCAACAUAGGACGAGGGUUGCGCUCGUUGCGGGACUUAACCCAACAUCUCACGACACGAGCUGACGACAACCAUGCACCACCUGUGUACGAGUGUCCAAAGAGAACCCCGUCUCGGGGGCUUUCUCGUACAUGUCAAGCCUUGGUAAGGUUCUUCGCGUUGCAUCGAAUUAAUCCGCAUGCUCCGCCGCUUGUGCGGGCCCCCGUCAAUUCCUUUGAGUUUUAGCCUUGCGGCCGUACUCCCCAGGCGGGGCACUUAAUGCGUUAGCUGCGGCACGGAACUCGUGGAAUGAGCCCCACACCUAGUGCCCAACGUUUACGGCAUGGACUACCAGGGUAUCUAAUCCUGUUCGCUCCCCAUGCUUUCGCUCCUCAGCGUCAGUUGCGGCCCAGAGACCUGCCUUCGCCAUCGGUGUUCCUCCUGAUAUCUGCGCAUUCCACCGCUACACCAGGAAUUCCAGUCUCCCCUACCGCACUCUAGUCUGCCCGUACCCGAUGCAAGCCCGAGGUUGAGCCUCGGGAUUUCACACCAGACGCGACAGACCGCCUACGAGCUCUUUACGCCCAAUAAUUCCGGACAACGCUUGCGCCCUACGUAUUACCGCGGCUGCUGGCACGUAGUUAGCCGGCGCUUCUUCUGCAGGUACCGUCACUUGCGCUUCUUCCCUGCUGAAAGAGGUUUACAACCCGAAGGCCGUCAUCCCUCACGCGGCGUCGCUGCAUCAGGCUUGCGCCCAUUGUGCAAUAUUCCCCACUGCUGCCUCCCGUAGGAGUCUGGGCCGUGUCUCAGUCCCAGUGUGGCCGGUCGCCCUCUCAGGCCGGCUACCCGUCGACGCCUUGGUAGGCCAUCACCCCACCAACAAGCUGAUAGGCCGCGAGCCCAUCCCCCACCGAAAAACUUUCCAACCCACACCAUGCGAUGCGAGCUCAUAUCCGGUAUUAGACCCCGUUUCCAAGGCUUAUCCCGAAGUGGAGGGCGGGUUGCUCACGUGUUACUCACCCGUUCGCCACUGAUCCACCCAGCAAGCUGGGCUUCAC